CGGUGACGAACAAAAGAAAUGGAUCGAAUAAAGUCAGCUGCAAAUAGAUACCCACGGCCACGUGCUGGAAUGCAGAUAGCAUAUCAACAAUGAGAUAAAGCUUUCUGAAGCAGAAGGUCACUGAACCAAGAUUUCUGACACAUGUCCAAGUGCUGGCUUUUAAAAUGGAGCGUAACAGAAAGCACAUUCUUUCCGGUCACUGGAAUUCUUUCAAAGAAGCAGUUGUAUGAAAUGGAAGACGACGGUAUAUUGAAGAAGACUCAAGUGGACGAGGUAUCAGACAUGUUGGCAAAAGUAAGAUGAAGGUGGUACAAUGAAUGGACACCAACUUCAAAUAAACUCCCAUAAGAACCAUCAGGACUAACUUACCCGAAAGGAACAUUCAAAUUCACAUCAAUCAAUAACAGCUAAUAAUGGCCUCUGUUAAUUUGUUUUAAUUUUGACCGAGUGAUAACAUUGCCAUCAUUUUUUUUUUAACAAUCCUUGAUGGAACUGCUACCUCUGUUGAACUCUUGAGUGUAUCUCGUCCCAAAGAGAAUGAUCAACAAAAUCAGUCCUGGAUACACGCUAUACAUUCUGUUAUACCUACUCAUAGCUCAUCUGUGACAUAGCUUCUGAAUUGAAAGCAAAGAAAAAAAAAAACUGGAAGAGAGAGAAUAAAAUAUUUGCUCACAUCUGGGAAGAAUUCAACUAAUUUCUUUAGCUGACUAAGCCUAUAGAAGGAUCACAAUCAUCUUCCUCUCUCUUGUUCCCCAAAGUGGCUCUGAACUGGGGUCCCUGCUUUCUCUCUUGCCC